GAUGAACGCUGGCGGCGUGCCUAAUACAUGCAAGUCGAGCGAACGGACGAGAAGCUUGCUUCUCUGAUGUUAGCGGCGGACGGGUGAGUAACACGUGGAUAACCUACCUAUAUGCCUGGGAUAACUUCGGGACACCGGAGCUAUUACCGGCUACUAUUUUCAACCUCAUGGUUCAAAAGUGAAAUACGGUCUUGCUGUCACUUAUAGAUGUAUCCGCUCUGCAUUAGCUACUUGGUGAGGUAACGGCUUUCCAAGGCAACGAUGCCUAGCCGACCUGUGAGGAUGAUAGGCACCACCGGAACUGAGAACCGUCACAAAAACCUACGGGCGGCAGAGGUAGGGAAUCGUCAGGAAUGGGCGAAAGCCGGACGGAGCAACGCCGCGUGACUGAUGAAGGCUUUCGGACCGUAAGACUCUGUUAGUAGGGAUGAAGAUAUGUGUAAGUAUCGGUGCACAGCUUGACGGUACCUAAGCAGAAAGCCACGGCUACCUACGUG
rnacentral:rRNA from 1 species